rnacentral:sRNA from 1 species
GCCAGGCCGACUGAGGUUCGCUCUCGGCCGGCGUACGCGCCGGCCCGCAAUACCGCCGUCCAGGACUGUCCACCUGGCUGGCGUGCCGUGUUCCCUUGCUGCCGGGUCGUCGCGACCCGGCAGGUUUUUGCGACUGUGUCAGCCGCAUCGAUCAAGUGUUGCGGUACUGAAAUGCUGUGACCGCUUUAUUAAAACCGCGCCAACCGCGUGAUAUUCUUGUGAUCUGUUCAGUUCCGGUGUGAACAGAUGUUCUCAGACUCUCUGCCAUGACCCAGCAACGCACCCUCAAGAACACGAUUCGCGCCACCGGCGUGGGCCUGCACAGUGGCAACAAGGUGU